rnacentral:rRNA from 1 species
UACGUAGGGGGCGAGCGUUGUCCGGAGUUACUGGGCGUAAAGCGCUUGUAGGCGGUCCACCAAGUUUGGGGUGACAGUUGCCGACUUAAUCGGCAAAGUGCCUCAAAGACUGGCGGACUUGAGGGCCACAGAGGGACAUGGAACUCCAGGUGUAGUGGUGAAAUGCGUAGAUAUCAGGAGGAACACCGAUGGCGAAGGCAGGUCUCUGGGCCGAUACUGACGCUGAGGAGCGAAAGCGUGGGGAGCGAACAGG